CCUUCCUCACCAAUGGUAUGCUUGUUGAAUGGAACCCGAGCACAGACCCCUACUUCGCCAAGUGCUCCGAUUGUCGCCAUUCAAUUGCCGGCCUAGCUGCUAGCCCACUUAAGAUGAUCUACCAUUUUUAAAACCAGACGAUCCUCAACGCAAUCGGGAACGCAAGCAGAGUCUGCAUUACGGACUUCAGCAUAUACUUUGGUUUCCACUGGUCUCGCUUCAUGAAGAUUUGAUCAGCCCUUUCUGGUAGGCCUCCGAAGCUUCGCAUCGCCGUAAUCGACAUUCCCUAGCCUGAUUUCUGGCCAGAAGAGAGAAUAGAGGAGACCGGUUGCUGGCUGUAUCUUUAUGCCGAGAGAUUCCACAUCCCUUUUGUGUACCAAUUUUUGGCGUCAAAGCUUGAUGAGGUGAAGGUUGAGGACCUCCACCUCGAGGAGGAGGAGGUCUUAAUCAUCAAUUGCUUGCUCCGCAUAACUUCUUUUGGCGAUGAAAUCAUGAACAUAGACUUUCCGAGAGAUAAGUUUUUAAACAACCUAAGAAAACUCAACUCUGUUUUGUUUGUGAAUGUGGCUACAAUGGAACCUUUCUCCAUUUUUUGUGAUGAGAUUUCGUGAGGUUUUGUACCAUUUAUCUGUAUUGUUUGAUAUGUUGGAGGUAACUGCACUGAGAGAGUAUGAGCAGAGGAUGCUGGUUGAGAAGGUCUGUAUGGGAAUAGUAUGAUUGAUAUAAUCUCUUGUGAGGGAGCAGAUAGGUUGGAAAGUCCAUAGACGUAUAAGCAAACACAGGUGAGGUGCUUGAGGGCUAGGUUCACGCAGUUGCCUUUUAGCUCAAAGAUUGCGAUUAUACCUGUUAAACUUGUCCCUAUUAGUAUGUCUAUUAAGCCUGAUAAAAUUACGAUUGCUAGUGUGUAAAGGCUUGUGCUUCUAUCAGAGCUUUUGAUCAGGGGAAAUGGUCGCAUAUCUAUUUGAGAAUGCAAAGAUUGGCUUUUGACGUUGUGAUUGGUACUGCUCUCAUAGACAUGUAUGGGAAGUGUGGGAGUCUGGCAAAAGAAAAAAGAAAUUUUUUAGGAGAUUCUGGAAAAGGAUGUUUUGACUUGGACUGCAAUGAUCUCUGCUCUUGCAGUGCAUGGGUGUGGUGAGGAGGCUUUCAUUCCUUCUGAAAAAAAAUGGAUAAUAUAAUGCCGCACUUAGAAAUCUUUUCAUAUGUGGAUCCUGAUGCUCUUGAACCAUCAGAAUCAGUUAAAAGAGCAAUGAAACUACCAGUCCACAUCAGUGCCUGGAAGCUUAUGAAACUAGACUCAAAUGAAGCCAUGAGAGCUUCAGCCAAGGCCCGAGCAUCUUCUUCUUUCUUGAGACCAAUUAACUCCCCAAUGGAGAAUGAUUCUGAUCAUGUUCGCUCAAGCAGGAACACUAGCGGUAUCAAUAGCAGAAUAAGAUUUUGUUUGGGAUAACUUUCGUCUGUUUUAUAAAGUAGUUUUUUAUACAAAAUUGUUUGACAAAUAAAAUUGUGCACUGAAAAACUAUUUUAAAAAGCAAUAAGAAAGUUGUUCGAAAUGAAACUUAAGCUUCGUUUAGGACGGCUUUUUUCCUGCUUCUUAAAGCGGCUUUUUAGUACAAAAUUUUUAAUUUUUGUACUAAAAAGCUGCUUUUAGAAGCAAUAAGAAAGUCGUCCCAAACAAAACCUUGGUUAAGUAGCUUCUGAUUUCAUUAGGAGGAUUUUUGCAGGAUUAGCCAUUUUUUAAGUGGUAUCAUUCAUCUUUGUUAGGGUUUGCUGCAAAAUAUUAUUAU